CGGACGGGUGAGUAACACGUGGAUAACCUACCUAUAAGACUGGGAUAACUUCGGGAAACCGGAGCUAAUACCGGAUAAUAUUUUGAACCGCAUGGUUCAAAAGUGAAAGACGGUCUUGCUGUCACUUAUAGAUGGAUCCGCGCUGCAUUAGCUAGUUGGUAAGGUAACGGCUUACCAAGGCAACGAUGCAUAGCCGACCUGAGAAGGUGAUCGGCCACACUGGAACUGAGACACGGUCCAG
rnacentral:rRNA from 1 species